UACGGAGGAUGCAAGCGUUAUCCGGAAUGAUUGGGCGUAAAGCGUCCGCAGGUGGCUGUGUAAGUCUGCUGUUAAAGAGUCUAGCUCAACUAGAUACAAGCAGUGGAAACUACACGGCUAGAGUACGUUCGGGGCAGAGGGAAUUCCGGGUGUAGUGGUGGAAUGCGUAGAGAUCCGGAGGAACACCAGCGGCGAAGGCGGCAUCCUGGACUGGUCCUGACGCUGACACGCGAAAGCUAGGGGAGCGAACGGG
rnacentral:rRNA from 1 species